ensembl:lncRNA
GGUAAUGUUUUGCUUUGUAUAGGGUAAAUUGACUUUCUAUAAUACUUAGUUAUUUUUAUUAAUUCGGUAAUUUCAGUUCUGUGUGUUUUUCUAAUUUACUGAGCUGCACUGCAUAGGCCUUCAUAUCAAUCAAAUCAAUAUCAUACCAAUAUCAAUCAACUGCAGUAUACUGCAAAUGGACAUUAGUUAAAUGAUCCCAAUACAUUACAAAUAUUAUCUAGCGAUCAGCUAACCAUGUCUUUGUCUUACAUGGUUCCAUGUUAACUUCAAUAAUAGGCCUACUAAAAUAAACCUUUGCGAGGUAUUACUUUCAUCAAACUAAAAGGUGACAGCCAAGUGGUGUUUACAGAAGAUUUGUUGCGCGUGCGCAAUGAGGCCUGGGCGCUAGUAGAUAUAAAGUUUCGACCUUCGAUACUUUCGCUUGCUUUGUUUACGUGGCGGAACAAACUAAAUUGACUUCUAAAUUCACCGGGAAGAAGAAUGUGUGCAUCGCCAAUCCUGAGUCGCCUACAUGGCUUUUAAGGGGACGGUGGGAGAUGUGGUUCACCUUACCUACUGGACUAUCAACAGCAAGCAAAUUCACGGGGAAUUACGAGUAGUUUAUGUAAGUG